AAAACAAAAAAAAACAAAAAAAAAACAAAAAACAAAAAUUGAUCUCACUGGAAAUCUAUUUUUAUACAUCUUCUGUUAUUAGAUAUUUU